CACGCUGUAAAUGGUGAGUGCUAGGUGUCGGGAGUCAAAUCUCGGUGCCGACGUUAACACAUUAAGCACUCCGCCUGGGGAGUACGCACGCAAGUGUGAAACUCAAAGGAAUUGACGGGGACCCGCACAAGCAGCGGAGCAUGUGGUUUAAUUCGAUGCAACGCGAAGAACCUUACCAGGGCUUGACAUCAUAGGGACCGGUAUAGAGAUAUACCCUUUCUUCGGAACCGUAUGACAGGUGG
rnacentral:rRNA from 1 species